UGGCUGGACGAGCUGCGGGCCGCCGAGCAGACCGCUCUGGAGAAGCGGCUGCCGAGCCUGAGGUCCAACGCCUCGCCCAUCCACCC
rnacentral:tRNA from 1 species